rnacentral:lncRNA from 1 species
CUAAAGUGAGUAAAGAUAAGAUGAAGUCUGAAUUUGGUCAAAAAAAGAAAACCCCAGAAGGAGCAGAGUCAAGACGUAUGCAAUGCUCAGAGCUCAGAGAGCUGACCAGGUUGCAUGAGAAGUCUCCGAAGACCUAGAAAAAGGUUUUGCUUACUUUAAAGAAAUGAAAUGGAAGUUCUGUGUCAUUGGCUUGUCCAGCUGAAGGGCUGGUGGGUCAUCAUCAGGGAGCGUGGUAGGUAAGAGAAGGCACAGGAGGCUGUCCCGUGAUCGAAACUCUUUUAGUAACUGGAAUAGAGACCAUUUCAAAUCCAAACCGAGUCACCAGACGUCAGCUACAUGUGAGAUGAAAAACACAGUGAAGAAGUUGGAGCAUGACUCUCAUUCACCGUUCACUGUCUUUGGUUAAAAGCCCACUGGAAAAUGAAUGCAAGAUCUUUAGCAAAAAAAAAAAAAGGUAGAGAUUUGUAACAAAAUCUAUUAGCAAAGAUAUAUGACUCUGCAAAGGGGACUGAUUCAGGAAGAGUAAGAGAGAACAGAAGGAGCCGCAGGGUCAGCAACAAAGGAAAUGAGAACUUAAGAGGAGAGAAUUCAAGAAAAGGAGGAAGAAUUGCCGAAGCCAAGUGGUCUGGAUAAAUUCCAGAUUGCUAUUCAUGAAAAGAAAGCUUCUGACAGCUGGGGUCACUGUUGGUCAUUCAGCAAAACGAGCUCUUGCUGGAGAGAAGAUCAGGCUGUGCACUCCAGGUGUAAAUUAACACAGGCGGACCAGGGGCAGCAGGCUCACUGCCAGUUGGGGGUACACACAGACACACACAAGCACACAGACGUACACGCACAUGCACACACAUACACAGAUGCACACAGACACACGCACAUGCACACACAGAGGCACAGACACACGCACAUGCACACACAGAGGCACAGACACACGCACAUGCACACACAGAGGCACAGACACACGCACAUGCACACACAGAUGCACAUGCACACACAGACACACACGUGCACACAGACACUUGCACAGACACAUGCACACACAUACACAGAUGCACACAGACACACGCACAUGCAUACACAGAUGCACAUGCACACACAGACACACACGUGCACACAGGACACACAAUAGUGCACAUGCACAUGCACACAGAUGCACAUGCACACACAGACACACAGGUGUGCACGCAGGGUGCCUUUUCUCCAGAGGUGCGCCUCUUUUUUUUUUUUAAUUGAGGCAAAAUUCAUAUAACACAAAAUUAGCCAGUUAAAGUGAAUGACUC